rnacentral:rRNA from 1 species
UGCGUAGGCGGCGCGGUAAGUCGGGUGUGAAAUCUCGGGGCUUAACUCCGAAACUGCAUUCGAUACUGCCGUGCUUGAGGACUGGAGAGGAGACUGGAAUUUACGGUGUAGCGGUGAAAUGCGUAGAUAUCUGCAGGAACACCCGUGGCGAAAGCGGCGCGCUGGAUCACUACUGACGCUGAGGAACGAAAGCUAGGGGAGCAAACA